rnacentral:rRNA from 1 species
GGGGAAUUUUGGACAAUGGGGGCAACCCUGAUCCAGCCAUCCCGCGUGUGCGAUGAAGGCCUUCGGGUUGUAAAGCACUUUUGGCAGGGAAGAAACAGCCUGGGCUAAUAUCCCGGGCGACUGACGGUACCUGCAGAAUAAGCACCGGCUAACUACGUGCCAGCAGCCGCGGUAAUACGUAGGGUGCAAGCGUUAAUCGGAAUUACUGGGCGUAAAGCGUGCGCAGGCGGUUCGGAAAGAAAGGUGUGAAAUCCCAGGGCUUAACCUUGGAACUGCACUUUUAACUACCGGGCUAGAGUACGUCAGAGGGGGGUAGAAUUCCACGUGUAGCAGUGAAAUGCGUAGAGAUGUGGAGGAAUACCGAUGGCGAAGGCAGCCCCCUGGGAUGAUACUGACGCUCAUGCACGAAAGCGUGGGGAGCAAACA